rnacentral:rRNA from 1 species
UACGUAGGGACCAAGCGUUGUUCGGAUUUACUGGGCGUAAAGGGCGCGUAGGCGGCGUGGUAAGUCACUUGUGAAAUCUCCGAGCUUAACUCGGAACGGUCAACUGAUACUGUGCGGCUAGAGUGCGGAAGGGGCAACUGGAAUUCUUGGUGUAGCGGUGAAAUGCGUAGAUAUCAAGAGGAACACCUGCGGCGAAGGCGGGUUGCUGGGCCGACACUGACGCUGAGGCGCGAAAGCUAGGGGAGCGAACGGG